GAGUAAUUGGGGUUACAGGCGCACGCCACCACGCCCGGCUAAUUUUUGUGUUUUUAGUAGAGACAGGGUUUCACCAUGUUGGUCAAGCUGGUCUCGAACUCCUGACCUCGUGAUUUGCCCACCUUGACCUCUCAAAAUGCUGGGAUUACAGGCGUGAGCCACUGCCCUCGGCCAGUAAAUUUUUUAAAUGCUGUCAUUUUAAUGGUUUCUUUUAUUGAUUAUAAACUUAAUUGCUUUUAAUGUUUGAAGUUGACUUCUUGAAUAUUGUAUUUAUCUUAAUUUCAUUAGGUUUCUGAUCAGAAACCCUUGGGGAGCUGGUCAGUGAAACAAGGUCAAAUUAUAACAUGUCCAGCUGUGUGCAACUUUCAAACUGGAGAGUAUGUUGUUGUACACGAUAAUAAGGUUUUAAGAAUAUGGAAUAAUGAAGAUGUAAACCUGGAUAAAGUAUUUAAAGCUACAUUGUCAGCAGAAGUAUAUAGGAUACUUUCAGUGCAAGGGACAGAACCCUUGGUGCUCUUCAAGGAAGGUGCUGUUCGUGGUUUAGAGGCCUUG
rnacentral:lncRNA from 10 species